AUUGAACGCUGGCGGCAUGCCUUACACAUGCAAGUCGAACGGUACCGCGGGGCAACCCGGCGACGAGUGGCGAACGGGUGAGUAACGCAUCGGAACGUGCCCAGUAGUGGGGGAUAGCCCGGCGAAAGCCGGAUUAAUACCGCAUACGACCUACGGGUGAAAGGGGGGGAUCGCAAGACCUCUCGCUAUUGGAGCGGCCGAUGUCAGAUUAGGUAGUUGGUGGGGUAAAGGCCCACCAAGCCUUCGAUCUGUAGCUGGUCUGAGAGGACGACCAGCCACACUGGGACUGAGACACGGCCCAGACUCCUACGGGAGGCAGAAGUGGGGAAUUUUGGACAAUGGGCGCAAGCCUGAUCCAGCCAUGCCGCGUGCGGGAAGAAGGCCUUCGGGUUGUAAACCGCUUUUGUCAGGGAAGAAACGCUCUGGGCUAAUACCCCGGGGUAAUGAUGGUACCUGAAGAAUAAGCACCGGCUAACUACGUGCCAGCCGCCGCCGUAG
rnacentral:rRNA from 1 species